UGCAGUCGAGCGAACAGAGAAGGAGCUUGCUCCUUUGACGUUAGCGGCGGACGGGUGAGUAACACGUGGGCAACCUACCUUAUAGUUUGGGAUAACUCCGGGAAACCGGGGCUAAUACCGAAUAAUCUAUUUUACUUCAUGGUGAAAUACUGAAAGACGGUUUCGGCUGUCGCUAUAAGAUGGGCCCGCGGCGCAUUAGCUAGUUGGUGAGGUAACGGCUCACCAAGGCGACGAUGCGUAGCCGACCUGAGAGGGUGAUCGGCCACACUGGGACUGAGACACGGCCCAGACUCCUACGGGAGGCAGCAGUAGGGAAUCUUCCACAAUGGGCGAAAGCCUGAUGGAGCAACGCCGCGUGAGUGAAGAAGGUUUUCGGAUCGUAAAACUCUGUUGUAAGGGAAGAACAAGUACAGUAGUAACUGGCUGUACCUUGACGGUACCUUAUUAGAAAGCCACGGCUAACUACGUGCCAGCAGCCGCGGUAAUACGUAGGUGGCAAGCGUUGUCCGGAAUUAUUGGGCGUAAAGCGCGCGCAGGCGGUCCUUUAAGUCUGAUGUGAAAGCCCACGGCUCAACCGUGGAGGGUCAUUGGAAACUGGGGGACUUGAGUGCAGAAGAGGAAAGUGGAAUUUCC
rnacentral:rRNA from 1 species